UGANGUAGGGGGAUAACCAUUGGAAACGAUGGCUAAUACCGCAUAAUCUCUUCGGAGCAAAGAGGGGGACCUUCGGGCCUCUCGCGUCAGGAUUAGCCCAGGUGAGAUUAGCUAGUUGGUGAGGUAAGAGCUCACCAAGGCGACGAUCUCUAGCUGGUCUGAGAGGAUGAUCAGCCACACUGGAACUGAGACACGGUCCAGACUCCUACGGGAGGCAGCAGUGGGGAAUAUUGCACAAUGGGGGAAACCCUGAUGCAGCCAUGCCGCGUGUGUGAAGAAGGCCUUCGGGUUGUAAAGCACUUUCAGUUGUGAGGAAGGCGUUAUCGUUAAUAGCGGUAGUGUUUGACGUUAGCAACAGAAGAAGCACCGGCUAACUCCGUGCCAGCAGCCGCGGUAAUACGGAGGGUGCGAGCGUUAAUCGGAAUUACUGGGCGUAAAGCGCAUGCAGGCGGCUUGUUAAGCCAGAUGUGAAAGCCCGGGGCUCAACCUCGGAAUAGCAUUUGGAACUGGCAGGCUAGAGUCUUGUAGAGGGGGGGUAGAAUUUCAGGGUGUAGCGGUGAAAAUGCGGUAGAGAUCUGAAAGGAAUACCGGGUGGCGAAAGGCGGGCCCCCUGGGACAAAGACUGACGCUCAGAUGCGAAAAGCGUGGGGGAGCAAACAGGGAUUAGAUACCCUGGUAGUCCACGCCGUAAACGAUGUCUACUUNGAGGUUGGAACCUUGAGUUCUGGCUUUCGGAGCUAACGCAUUAAGUAGACCGCCUGGGGGAGUACGGUCGCAAGAUUAAAACUCAAAUGAAUUGACGGGGGCCCGCACAAGCGGUGGAGCAUGUGGUUUAAUUCGAUGCAACGCGAAGAACCUUACCUACUCUUGACAU
rnacentral:rRNA from 1 species